rnacentral:lncRNA from 1 species
ACUGCUUCCAACUCUUAACAUUCUGUAUCCAAUACAAUGUAGUGAUAGAGUCCACCCAAUAGCCCAAUAGAACGUUUCAGUGUCUAGCGGCAGAGACAAAGAUUCCUUGAUGGUUGCUACUAAUCGUGCGAGGAUAAGGGCUCCCAGUAGUUCCAGACGCGGAAUACUUUGUUUCUUUGUGGGCGCGACCUUGGUUUUCGAUGCCACAAACUUGACUGCUACGCGACCAUCUUCGUAGGUUGACCUCAGAUACACUACUGCGGCGAAUGCUUGUUGAGACGCGUCACUAAAUCCAUAAAGUUGAAUGUUCGUUGGCUUGGAUCCCACAUCAAAAUAACAUCUAGGUAUCCUAACGUUGGACAGAUGCUGCAAAUCAGACACAAAGGAAUUGAAUCUUUCGCGUGAAUCUCCAUGUAACUCUUCAUCCCAGUCGAUUUUGUCACAGCAGAGUAUCUGGAACAUCGCUUUCAAGCGAAUUGUGAAUGGGCUAGGAAAGGGAUCAAAGAUCUUGGCUGUCAGGUUACCCAAAGGAUCAAAGAUCUUGGCUGUCAGGUUAAGCAAUGCCCGCUUUGUGAUUGGCAACGACUUGGCAUAAGUGAUCAAGUUCUCGAAAUCAAAGAACAGUUCGUCAGAAUGAGUGUUCCAAUUUGAUCCUAAUACCUUUACUGAUAUCUCUCUGUUCGAAUUAUUGGGACCGAUCGUAGACUUCGUGUAUGAUUCAUCCUCGGUGGUAACUUUCUUUUCGGAUUGGGUUAAGGGAUCUUGAUGGGUUUCGCACUUGUUGAUGGAUUCAAGAAGGGUGGAGGAAUUUGAGUUCCACUUUCUUAAAUUAAAACCUCCUUCGCUCAUAAUUUCUUUGGACCGUUUGUAGAUAUCGAACGUUUGGCUAUCGUUGCUGCCUCCUGAUAGGAGAUCGUCCACAUACAAUGAUUUCUUUAUCAGUUCGAUAAGUUCAGGGUACUGGUCUUGGUAUGAAUUCAAGUGUUGGUAAAUAGUUGCACCGAGAAUUGCUGGUGAGGGGCGAAGUCCGAAUACUAAACGACAAAAUCUCAAAUGUUUUAUCUUUGAAUUCAGCCUUUCAGGGUCUUCUAGCCAGAGGAAGCGAAGCAUAUCUCGAUCACUUGAGUCAAUCCCCACCAUGAGAAAAGCCUUUUCGAUGUCGGCCGAUAUUGCAACUGGAUUCCACCUGAACCUUACGAGGACAUCGAAGAGAUGUGGUAUAAAAUUUGGACCCGUUUCUAAGAAUUCGUUUAGUGAUCGUCCAUCACUGUCAGACUUGGCAAACCCAUCAUAAACCACGCGUAGUUUCGUAGUAUCUUUAUCUUUGCGCACGACCGCAUGAUGAGGCAUGUAAUGUAUUGGUCUUUCUUCCCCACUCGUUUGAUUCUCUGCAUUUCCCAAUUCUUCCGGAGGAACUUCUUCAACCACUCCUUUCUCCAAUUGAUCGUUGAUGGUGUUGUUAUAUUCUUCAAGAAGUUCUGGUUCCUUUCGUAAUUUGUACUGUAGGGAUUUCAGUCGAUUGUAACAAUAAUUGUAAUCUGUUGGGACAUCCAUUUGCUCUUCUUUCCAUGGUAGCGACACUUCGUAGCGGUGGUCUUCGUAUUUACAUUCUUCAGAAACGACUUUGACAAU